rnacentral:rRNA from 1 species
UACGAAGGGGGCUAGCGUUGUUCGGAAUUACUGGGCGUAAAGGGCGCGUAGGCGGCCAUUCAAGUCGGAGGUGAAAGCCCAGGGCUCAACCCUGGAAUUGCCUUCGAUACUGUCUGGCUAGAGACCGGAAGAGGUAAGUGGAACUGCGAGUGUAGAGGUGAAAUUCGUAGAUAUUAGGAAGAACACCAGUGGCGAAGGCGGCUCACUGGCUCGGUACUGACGCUGGAGGCGCGAAAGCGUGGGGGAGCAAACAGG